rnacentral:rRNA from 1 species
UGGGGGAUAUUGCACAAUGGGCGAAAGCCUGAUGCAGCGACGCCGCGUGGGGGAUGAAGGCUUUCGGGUUGUAAACCUCUUUCGCUAUCGAACAAGGCCCGCUUAGUGUGGGCUGAGGGUAGGUGGAGAAGAAGCGCCGGCUAACUACGUGCCAGCAGCCGCGGUAAUACGUAGGGCGCGAGCGUUGUCCGGAAUUAUUGGGCGUAAAGGGCUUGUAGGCGGCUUGGUGCGCCUGCUGUGAAAUCGCGGGGCUUAACUUCGCGCGUGCAGUGGGUACGGGCAGGCUUGAGUGUGGUAGGGGUGACUGGAAUUCCAGGUGUAGCGGUGGAAUGCGCAGAUAUCUGGAGGAGCACCGAUGGCGAAGGCAGGUCACUGGGCCAUUACUGACGCUGAGGAGCGAAAGCAUGGGUAGCGAACAGG